rnacentral:misc_RNA from 1 species
CCACACAUGGCUGCCCAAACAUUGCCCAGCAACUUGAGCUUCACUGAAGAGAGCAGCAACCUCACAGAGAAGGUCCUGCUUACACCGCUCUCUCCAACACGUGCUCGCCAGGCAUACAACAACAGCAAAACAUCAAGGUAACCAAAAAGAAGGACAGCAGUCCUCACACCCCCACACACCCCUCCUGGUCGGUCUCGGUCAAGCAUUUUCUAUACCCUCGCCAAAAUGUUUCUUUCCUGCAUCAACUACUAUGUGGACAAGAACUGCAAUUUCGGUGUCGUCAGCGCUGUGCUGCUUGUGAAUGUGUACGUGCUGCAGUACCUCCCCGGAACUGUCGUGGUCCCCUUCUUGACUCUGUGCGCCUGCAUCACGGCCGGGGUCAGCAAGGGACUGAAGCGCAUCAUCAAGCAGCCCAGGCCGCCUGGAGCUCCGAAGGCGAGCCCUGGUAUGCCGAGCAACCACGCUACAAGCUUAUCGUUCUUGUCCGUGGUGACGGUCUAUGUCCUGCAGCGCUAUGCGUCCAGCACUGCCGUCGUUGGUGGCGCGAAUCAGACACUCUUCCACACGCCGCCUCUGCCUUCUCUGCCGCUGCCGUGUGUAAGGCCGCUGCAGGUGCUGAUUGCGGUGUACAGUGUGUAUGCGACAGGCCUGCGGGUCGCUCAAGGCCAUCACACGGUAGCGCAAGUCACUGCGGGAUACCUGUUGGGAUCCACCCUCGCCAUUUUGUCCUUGGCGGCGAACCACAGCGGCUACACUGGCACUCGGUUUGGUGGUCGCGUGGAUGAGUUGCCUCUGCCAGAGAAGGUAAUUAUGCUUUUUGCUAGCGUUGCGAUCUCUGCGAUGGCAAUGCGUUCCAUCGUUCGUGGCUCACACGUUUCCCGCGUCGCGCGCACCAGCGCCCCCGUCAUGAAAGGUGUCGAAGAGGGAGGAAAGUGAGGGGACCGGGAUUUCUCAACGUGAAUCAUCGCAGAUGAACAAGCAGAGAAGGUGGCGCCUGCCAAGCAAACAGCCACGAAAAGGAGGACCAAAUAAAAUUACGAAAUAACGGGUAGCACCGCCUGCUCUCUCCCCUGCCAUGAUUCUUUCUCUCGUUGUCCUAUGCCUGAAUUCACACCGCUUGGACUUCUUAUUAUUGUUAUUUUUUUUUUUCCUUUUCCGGGACUUUCCGAAUUUCAUUUUUCCCUCUCUUUCUCCCCCUCCGCCGUUUUUUCGUUAUUUACGUCGUUUCGUUUUCUGUGUGUCUUUGUCUAUGUCUCUCUUCCUCUGUGUGUGUGCGUGUCUGCGUGUGUGUGUGAGAGGCUGUCUCACACGGCUUGCUCAAAAACGAAGAAACGAGAAACAAACCAAACGAACAACAAGAACAAAGAAAGAAAAAAGGCAGGUUGUUUUUUUGUUUCGAGUCCCCCACCAUUUUUUUUUAGUUCAUGGCCUGUGUGUAUACAUACACACGUAUAUAUAUAUAUAUAUGUAUAUACAUAUGGUAUCGUUUACAUUGAAUCCCCUCUACAAGCAGAAAAUAUUUAACGGAAAACAACAACAACAAAAGCAAGGUGGCGGUGGUAGUGGUAGUGGCCUAGCAGUUGAACGCAGGAAAACGACAGCGAUGUGAAAAAAGGGGGGAAUUUUCUUUCAUUGUGCGUUUUUUCUUCCCUUCCCCCCCUUCCUUACUUUUAUUCUUUUUAGUUGUCUCUCGUUCCUCUUUUUCUUCCCCUCUUUCAUAAGGCUCGCUGAGUCGCCUUCCUUCUUGUUUUUUUUGUCUUCUCUCUCCACACCCACACACUCUCUUCCGCCCUUCUCCCCCUCAUCCCUUCAUCGAAAUAUCACGCUCCGACGCAUUCCUGCUGACUGAGCAGCACUGCUGGACUGCUGCGCGGGCGUUUGUUUUUGUGAGCGCCCAGGUGAGGAUGCGAGCCAUGAGGGAGGAAGAGAUGAGAUGAGGGGUGCAUCGAGGUUGAAGCAUACUCAAGCACAGACACAC